rnacentral:rRNA from 1 species
CGGGGGCAACCCUAGGCGAGCGGCGGACGGGUGAGUAACGCGUGAACAAUCUGCCCCCAGGCCUGGAACAACCGGCCCAACGGCCGGCUAAUGCCGGAUAUUGCGUGGAGUCGCAUGGCUCCUUAGCGAAAGAUUUAUCUCCUGGGGAUGAGUUCGCGUCCGAUUAGGCAGUUGGCGGGGUAUUGGCCCACCAAACCUACGAUCGGUAGCCGACCUGAGAGGGUGACCGGCCACAUUGGGACUGAGAUACGGCCCAGACUCCUACGGGAGGCAGCAGCAGGGAAUAUUGCGCAAUGGGGGCAACCCUGACGCAGCGACGCCACGUGUGGGAUGGAGCGCUUAGGCGUGUAAACCACUGUCGUGAGGGAAUAGCACGCGGUUUCGGCCGCGAUGAAUGUACCUCGAGAGGAAGCACCGGCAAACUUCGUGCCAGCAGCCGCGGUAAUACGAGGGGUGCGAGCGUUGUUCGGAAUCACUGGGCGUAAAGGGAGCGUAGGCUGCCCUUCAAGCCGGGCGUGCAAGUCCGCGGCCUAACCGCGGGAUUGCGCCCGGGACUGAGGGGCUUGGAUAUUUCAGAGGCUGGCGGAAUUCCCGGUGGAGCGGUGGAAUGCGUAGAUAUCGGGAAGAACACCGGAGGCGAAGGCGGCCAGCUGGGGAAUUAUCGACGCUGCAGCUCGAAAGCGCGGGUAGCAAACAGGAUUAGAUACCCUGGUAGUCCGCGCCGUAAACGAUGCGCGCUUGGCGCCCGGGGGCAACUGCCUCUGGGUGCCGGAGCUAACGCGAUAAGCGCGCCGCCUGGGGAGUACGCCCGCAAG